rnacentral:rRNA from 1 species
UGGGGAAUAUUGCACAAUGGGCGCAAGCCUGAUGCAGCCAUGCCGCGUGUGUGAAGAAGGCCUUCGGGUUGUAAAGCACUUUCAGCGAGGAGGAAGGUGGUGAACUUAAUACGUUCAUCAAUUGACGUUACUCGCAGAAGAAGCACCGGCUAACUCCGUGCCAGCAGCCGCGGUAAUACGGAGGGUGCAAGCGUUAAUCGGAAUUACUGGGCGUAAAGCGCACGCAGGCGGUUUGUUAAGUCAGAUGUGAAAUCCCCGGGCUCAACCUGGGAACUGCAUUUGAAACCGGCAAGCUAGAGUCUCGUAGAGGGGGGUAGAAUUCCAGGUGUAGCGGUGAAAUGCGUAGAGAUCUGGAGGAAUACCGGUGGCGAAGGCGGCCCCCUGGACGAAGACUGACGCUCAGGUGCGAAAGCGUGGGGAGCAAAACAGGAUUAGAUACCCUGGUAGUCCACGCUGUAAAACGAUGUCGAUUUUGGAGGUUGUGCCCUUGAGGCGUGGCUUCCGGAGCUAACGCGUU